UACGUAGGUGGCAAGCGUUGUCCGGAUUUACUGGGCGUAAAGGGCGUGCAGGCGGUUUGUUAAGUGCAGGGUGAAAGCUCCCGGCUCAACUGGGAGAGGUCCUUGCAUACUGGCAAGCUCGAGGGAGGCAGAGGAAAGUGGAAUUCCCGGUGUAGUGGUGAUAUGCGUAGAUAUCGGGAGGAACACCUGUGGCGAAGGCGGCUUUCUGGGCCUUACCUGACGCUGAGGCGCGAAAGCUAGGGGAGCAAACGGG
rnacentral:rRNA from 1 species